rnacentral:lncRNA from 1 species
GAAUUAUUUGCCCUAUUUCUCUCUCAGUGAGUCUGUCAUUCGUGUAGAGGAAAGCUAUUGAUUUUUGUGUGUUGACCUUGUAACCAGCUACUUGACUGAAUUGGGUUACUAAGUCUAGAAGACUUUUGGUGGCAUUCUUGGGGUCUUCUCUAUAGAGUAUCAUGUCAUCUGCAAAUAAUGACAGUUUCACUUCUUCAUUACCGAUCUUGAUUCCUUUUAUUUCUUUCUCUUGUCUAAUUGCUAUGGCUAAUGUUUCCAGAACUGUAUUGAACAAGAGUGGUGAUAGUGGACAUCCUUGUCUUGUUCCUGAUUUUAGUGUGAAGGAUUUCAGUUUUUGACCAUUUAGUGUGAUGUUGGCUGUUGGUUUUUCAUAGAUGGCUUCUAUCAGUUUGAGGUAGAGACCAUCUAUUCCAAUUUUUUGUAGGGUUUUAAUCAUAAAUGCAUGUUGGCUUUUGUCAAAUGCUUUUUCUGCAUCUAUGGAGAUAAUCAUAUGGUUUUUGUCCUUGGCUCUAUUGAUAUAGUGUAUUACAUUGAUUGAUUUGCAUAUAUUGAACCAUCCCUGCAUCCCUGGGAUGAAUCCCACUUGAUCAGGGUGUAUGAUGUCCUUGAUGAUCUUCUGCAUUCUGUUUGCUAUUAUCUUAUUAAAGAUUUUUGCAUUUCUGUUCAUUAGUGAGAUUGGCCUAUAGUUCUCUUCUUCAGUUGGGUCUUUCUCUGCUUUGGGGAUCAAGGUGAUGCUUGCUUCCAGGAAUGAAUUUGGGAGUAUUGCUUCCCUUUCAAUUUCAUUGAAGAGUUUAAACAGUAGUGGCAGCAGUUCCUCUCUAAAUGUCUUAGAGAAUUCAGCCAUCAGGGUGAAGCCAUCAGGGCCUGGGCUUUUCUUAGUUGAUAAGCUUUUAAUUACAUUUUCAACUUCAUUGGUUGAUAUUGGGUUGUUCAGAAUUUUUAGGUCUUCUUCGUUCAACUUUGGUAAUUCAUAUGUAUCUAGGAAUCUGUCCAUUUCUUCUGUUUGUCCAUCUUAUUGGUGUAUAGGUUCUGGAAGUAGGUAUUGAUGAUCCUCUGGAUUUCUGCUGGGUCUGUUGUAAUUUCACCUUUUCAUUCCUAAUUUCAUGGAUUUGGACCUUUUCUUUCCUUUUUCUGACAAGGUUGGCUAAAGGUUUGUCAAUUUUGUUGAUUCUUUCGAAGAACCAACUCUUGGCUUCAUUGAUUUUUUGUAUCAUUCUCUUAGUCUCUAUUGCAUUGAUUUCUCCUCUGAUCUUUAUAAUUUCCUCCCUUGUAUGAGCUUUGGUGUUGUCUUGCUCUUCUUUUUCUAGAAGCUUGAGGUUCAGUAUCAGGUUAAUUGGGCUCAUUCUGUUUUCCUAAUAUGAGUAUUCACUGCUAUGAAUUUCUCUCAUAAGACUGCUUUCCUUGUGUCCC